UGUCUGUUUAUGUAAAAAUAUAUAAAUUUCAAUAGCUUUUGUGGUAGUAUAUUUUCUUUUUCUUUGUUCUUUUAGUUACUUAUAAAAUAUUAAAAUCUUGAGACUUAGCUAUUCUCCAACAGUACUUUAAAAUAUCAAACUGCAGAAAUGUGUUAUCAAACAGUAUGCAAUAAAUGUAACAAAAAGACUUGGAGUGGUUGUGGCAUGCAUGCUGAGUCUGUUUUAAAGGGUGUACCAGAAGAAGAGAGAUGUAAAUGUCCAAGAGAAUCAAAGUAAUUUUGUUGUCAGAUUUUGUGAAAUAUUGUAUGAACUUGUUACUAAAAAGAAUGAAAAUUUAAUGUAUCAUGUUGGUUUUAUGUUAUUAACAGACAUCGGUUGGUUCACGCAUAUACACGUAUAGAUUUUGAGUGAAUGUGAAUGAAUUUUGGUUGUUCAUGUUGACAAUGUUAUAAUAUUUUCAUGCACUGUAUAUAUUGAUGUUGAAGAUAUGUCUACUCGUUGUGA